ACCUUUUACUUACUCAAAAUUUUGUUUACCCAACCCUUUUCUCUUCGGCGCCACCCACCGCUAUAAAUAAUGACCUCUCCCUAAACCAAGAACAAACUAGUCUGAUUGUACGUUCUUUUUGUCGAAAUAUUUCAAAAAGUGCCGGUAACUUCAAACUUCGUCCCAGGGCUUCGGGAACGAGGUUGGGUCAGUUCAGAACGAAGGAUCUUCUAUUUUUCAGAUAACUUGAUCGUACAAUCUCUCAAGAAUAUUCUCAAAUAUUUGCAUAUAAAUUUAGCAUAGGAAGCUCUUUGUUUUGAAUUGUAUUUGUCUACUAUUAACCCCCGCCAAGGCCAACUCCUAUUUACUUCCAAUUACGUCAUUUUAACCUCAAGGCCAUCUUUACAUUUUCCAAGUUGCGUUGAAAUAUGGUUAAAACAGCCGUCAAAACAUCAUGUUCUCACA